GCACUAUACACUCAUGCUAUGCUCUGAGUCUCAGAAAGCAAGAGCUGCACAGAAAAUCUAUGCAGUUGUUGUCUUUCCUAUUCUUCUUUAUAAACAAUUUUCAGCCAUAUAAGUUGUACAAAAUAAUGGUACAUGCAUCUGAUGUGUGUCAGUGUGAAAGUUUCCUAAGACAUGAAAAGACUUUUGGAGUGACCCACUUUUACUCCAUUGAAGGAGUUCCUAGGACUGGUCCUGCUAAUGUGACAAUUCUGAAUAUAACAAAGCAUUCUGCACUUGUAAAGUGGAGUGAAAUAGCUGCAGAAGACCGUUUGGGCUUUCUCCAGGGAUACAGGAUCAGUUACACAGAUUCAUCAAGGAAAAACUCUCCAGCUAUUACUCUCAACUCCUCUAUCACAAGUUACCAUCUUACUGGACUGAAGGAAAAGACCACCUAUCGUGUGCAGAUUUCAGGAUUCACUAAUGCUGGAGAAGGACCUCUGACUCUUUCUCAAUCUUUCAGCACUCCAAAAUAUGGUACUGUGGAACCUCUGUGCAUUAGCUGGCAUGAAUCUUUGCUUUAUGCUUUCUCUGUGCUCACUCAUAAGAUUUAUUAUUCAACCCUCAGUUACUGAGAGCAAACACAAAAUUGUUCCUCUGCAAGAGGUAAACUUUGUGUCACAGAACAACUCUGCCUGUGUUUCAUUAUCUAGUAUUCAGGGAAGCCUUAGCUAGGAUUCUUCAUCUCUGAAAUCUUUGCUGAACUUUUUGUGCUAGCUAUGUCUUAAUUUAUUGACAAUUACUCUCUAGAUUUCAGCAGUUGAAAUUUCUGCCUGUGACUAGUAAUGUUCAAUCAUCUGCUCUUGGCAAAAUCCUGAGCAAUCACGCAAAAUUGGCUUCCUGAGCCAUUAACUGCAAAAAUAAAAGAUUAAGUACCUUUCA
rnacentral:lncRNA from 1 species